UACGUAGGUGGCAAGCGUUGUCCGGAAUUAUUGGGCGUAAAGAGCUCGUAGGCGGUUUGUCGCGUCUGGUGUGAAAGGCCGGGGCUCAACCCCGGGUCUGCAGUGGGUACGGGCAGGCUAGAGUGCAGUAGGGGAGACUUGAAUUCCUGGUGUAGCGGUGAAAUGCGCAGAUAUCAGGAGGAACACCGAUGGCGAAGGCAGUUCUCUGGGCUGUAACUGACGCUGAGGAGCGAAAGCAUGGGGAGCGAACAGG
rnacentral:misc_RNA from 1 species